rnacentral:rRNA from 1 species
GGGUUCAAACUCUAGUACGAGAGGACCGAGUUUGACGAGCCUCUGGUGCUCCGGUUGUCGCGUCAGCGGCAUAGCCGGGCAGCUAAGCUCGGAAUAGAUAAGCGCUGAAAGCAUCUAAGCGCCAAGCUCCUCCCAAGAUAAAUUCUCCCUGAGGAUCGUGGUAGACCACCACGUUGAUAGGCUGGCGGUGUAAGUGCAGCAAUGUAUUAAGCUCACCAGUACUAAUCAUCCGAUUGGCUUGAUUCCUCUC